UGGGGAAUAUUGCGCAAUGGGCGAAAGCCUGACGCAGCCAAUCCGCGUGGGUGAUGAAGGCCUUCGGGUUGUAAAGCCCUGUCGUGUGGGAAGAAUAAUGACGGUACCACACAAGAAAGCACCGGCUAACCCCGUGCCAGCAGCCGCGGUAAUACGGGGGGUGCAAGCGUUGCUCGGAAUCACUGGGCGUAAAGCGUCCGCAGGCUGAUCUGCAGGUCGGGUGUGAAAUCCCGGGGCUCAACCCCGGAAC
rnacentral:rRNA from 1 species